GGGCGCUCCUCCCUGCCGCCUUGCAGUUUGAUCUCAGACUGCUGUGCUAGCAAUCAGCGAGACUCCGUGGGCGUAGGACCCUCCGAGCCAGGUGCAGAAUAUAAUCUCGUGGUGCGCCGUUUUUUAAGCCCGUCGGAAAAGCGCAGUAUUUGGGUGGGAGUGACCCGAUUUUCCAGGUGCUGUCUGUCACCCCUUUCUUUGACUCAGAAAGGGAACUCCCUGACCCCUUGCGCUUCCCAAGUGAGGCAGUGCCUUGCCCUGCUUCGGCUCGCACACGGUGCGCGCACCCACUGACCUGCACCCACUGUCUGGCACUCCCUAGUGAGAUGAACCCGGUACCUCAGAUGAAAAUGCAGAAAUCACCCGUCUUCUGCGUCGCUCACGCUGGGAGCUGUAGACCAGAGCUGUUCCUAUUCGGCCAUCUUGGCUCCUCCGGAUAGUGUUUAUUGAACUGGAGAGAAGGAGAGAUGGUGAGAAGAAACAUCAGAAGCAGUUGAGAGACUGAGAAGUGGGUUCUCUACUGAUGAAAAGGCAUUCUUCUGGAUGGCUGUUAAAAAAUGUUUCCUAGAGUCAUGUGCCUCAUUAACAACAGUUGUCGCCUUAGAAGUCUCUCUUUGAUUUGUUGAUUGUAUAAGCUGACACAAUUUCUUGUUAUGAAUGCAUGCUGUUCUAGUCCUUCAAUAAGCCCAUUAUAUAUUUUCACCAUGUCAUCUAUAGGCACUUUUUUCUACAGUGUUAACAAUGCCAGCUUCAUUGUCACUAUUGAUCAAAAUCACCUUGGUUCAGAAUUAUUUUGGCUAUCUCACCAUCAGUCAAGGAAUGAACAACUGAAGCCUCAUUACUGAUGUUAAAAACUUCAAUAUCUACUUUUUCUAGCUCACUGAUUAAAGUCAUAUUUUUGAAAAUA